rnacentral:rRNA from 1 species
UUUUUGGAGAGUUUGAUCCUGGCUCAGGACGAACGCUGGCGGCGUGCCUAAUACAUGCAAGUCGAGCGAGUCUCUUCGGAGGCUAGCGGCGGACGGGUGAGUAACACGUAGGCAACCUGCCCGUAAGACC